AGGGAAUCUUCGGCAAUGGGGGGAACCCUGACCGAGCAACGCCGCGUGAGUGAAGAAGGUUUUCGGAUCGUAAAGCUCUGUUGUAAGAGAAGAACGUGUGUGAGAGUGGAAAGUUCACACAGUGACGGUAACUUACCAGAAAGGGACGGCUAACUACGUGCCAGCAGCCGCGGUAAUACGUAGGUCCCGAGCGUUGUCCGGAUUUAUUGGGCGUAAAGCGAGCGCAGGCGGUUUGAUAAGUCUGAAGUAAAAGGCUGUGGCUUAACCAUAGUAUGCUUUGGAAACUGUCAAACUUGAGUGCAGAAGGGGAGAGUGGAAUUCCAUGUGUAGCGGUGAAAUGCGUAGAUAUAUGGAGGAACACCGGUGGCGAAAGCGGCUCUCUGGUCUGUAACUGACGCUGAGGCUCGAAAGCGUGGGGAGCAAAC
rnacentral:rRNA from 1 species